rnacentral:rRNA from 1 species
UACGGAGGGUGUAAGCGUUAUCCGGAUUCACUGGGCUUAAAGGGCGCGUAGGCGGGCUUGCAAGUCUGCGGUGAAAGCCUCCAGCUUAACUGGAGAAGUGCCGUGGAUACUGCGAGCCUCGAGGAGGGUAGGGGCGUCUGGAACGUUGGGUGGAGCGGUGAAAUGCGUUGAUAUCCAACGGAACUCCGGUGGCGAAGGCGAGGCGCUGGACCCUUUCUGACGCUGAGGCGCGAAAGCCAGGGGAGCGAACCGG